rnacentral:lncRNA from 1 species
UGCCUACCCUAUAGACUCAGGGUUAGCCAGAGGGCAUCACGAGUCUUCACUCACAAGAGAGAGGGCGCGAGAUUCAGACAUGCGCAGGGAGACGAUAAGUUCUUACGGUCAAGCCUACUGAAAUAAAUUGUCAGAGGAAAUACUGCUUUCCCUCGACCCUACAACGAUAACGAUGGCUUUGAUCAGUAAAAACAUGUCAUCCAUGAGUCACUAGAGAUCCUGCCAGAGCACUUACAGUAAGAACUUUAUCUCCAAGUAAGGAUUCAACCCUAGAAGCAAGACUCCAACCCCAAGGCACCAGAGAGGGGAACCACAGGUCAACACUUGACCCCUUGAUAACAACCACUCCCUUGUUCCCGCUUUAGGCCUACAACUCCCACAGUCCUUUUAUGGAACCCCUUGGUAAAAGGCAAGAAUUUAUAUCAGUGUGUACUGAAGUGAUUAGUUUUAGUGAAUGAAAAUUACCCACAUGAAUUAGUAUUUGAGCAGUAAUUUUCAUUUUGCAAUCAGUAUUUACUUAACUCACUGUUGACUCAAAUAAGUGCUAAAUAUGUCAGAUACUGAGAAAAUUAAUGUUGUAAGUGGAUCUAGGGAAGGUGAGGAGGAACAAAUGGACAGGGGUGGAAGUUAUGUAGAAAGUGUGAGAGAGCAAGUGCUGACAGUAAAGGGAAAAGAAUAUAAGUUAAUAAAACAAAGGAGAAGGGCAGAUUCCUUCAGAAAUCAUUGGAAUCAUGCUACUUAUAGUAUAAGGAAAACCCUGAAAACUGUAGUUAACCAUUUGAUCUGCAGUCCCUGAGGGAAGGAGGAGAGUUAUUUGAUCAGUAUGUUGCUGAAUAUUCAAAAUGGGUGGAAUUAGAGCCAGAAAGGUCAGAGGAGAUAAAAGAGGAGUUGGAAGAUAAACAAGAAGCCCACCAUGAAAUAUGACAAAGUAUAGAAUGUAGAGAGAGAGAGAGAGAGAGAGAGAGAGAGAGAGAGAGAGAGAGAGAGAGAGAGAGAGAGAGAGAGAGAGAGAGAGAGAGUGUUGAAGGCUAACAGGGGAUCAGUUUGUUCUAGUAUAGUCUAGAAAUUCUAGAAUAUCAUGUAUUUCACAUUCAUCUGAGCAAAGAAGAAUGAAAGAGACAGCAGCAAAGUUAGCUAGACUUAAAAAGGAAAUGGAGUAUCAUGAUAGUUUAAUAAAAGCAGAAGCUGAAUUAGCAAGGAAACAAGCAAUGAUAGAGCAGAAGAGGAGGGAGAAAGAUGUAGCAAUUCUCCAGGCAGAGCUUAAUGCAUUCUAUUUAGUUGAAAGGGAAGAACAAAAGCUUCCAAAUGAUGAUAAAAGUGUAGGGAAGCAAAGUCACUUUGAACAGUACAUUAAGUCACAAAAUAAAUUAAAAUCACAGGCAACUGCAUAUCAGCAUAGUACUGAUGCCCUGCCUUGCAACUAUGUUACACUCCAUGACUUAAAGGUACCUACCUCUUGUAAUAAGGAUAAUGAAUUGAUGAUAUGUGGUGAUGUAGAUAAACAAAUAAUUAAUGUUAAUGCCCCUUAAUGAAUCUCAAUCUUACAGCUCAAAGUUUUGUAACAUAUUCCCAUGGACCCACUCAUAAUGUCAGUAUGCCUAGCAAUAUUCCUUCCCAAUUUGUGGGAACUUUGCAACUAUCAUGUUUGAUCCCAGGUGGAGCUUUCCAAUAGAACCAGAGAUUUUUAGUGGAGAUCCUAUGGAUUUUCCAGUUUGAGUAAGGAAUUUUGAAACCUUUUUAAAUUCUAGUUAAUAAUGAUGAAGGGAAGUUGCUUGCUUAAAUAAAUAUACAAGUGGUGAAGCAAAAGGUGCUAUUAAAAUGCUAAUGUACUUAAAUUCCAAGGGUAACAGUUAUACAAAGGCAAUGAAUAUUCUUUGGGAAAGAUUUGGAGGUGAAAGCAUUGUAGUUGAUGCUUACAUGAAAAGGUUAAAAGAUUGGCCUCCAAUUCUUCAUGAUGAUGGACAAGCUUUAAUAGCAUUUUCAGACUUCUUGCAGUACUGCCUGACUACAAAGGAAAACACUUCUUUCUUGUUUUAGAUGAUCCUAGGGAGCAAAGGAAACUGCUUACAAAACUCCCAUUUAACAUAACUGAAAGAUGGAGAGAGGUAGUGGUGCAUUAUAAUCAAAGUAAUAGUAAUACCCUUCGUAGCAGAAAGGACCACCACCCACUCUUUGAAAGGUUAUGACUUUAUUCAGUUGGAAGCAAAGAAAGCAAGCAAUCCUUUUGUUUCUGAAAGUGCAAUAAGAGCCAAAGAAUGUAGUUGAAAUAGAAAUGGAACAAAGGUAUUCAGAUGGAAACCAAGGGAAUCAAACACUACAACAAAGUAUAAAGGGAGUAACACUUUCAUGGCUAAAGCAAAUGAAGAAAAACCUGUGUGUUCCUUUCAUAGUAAAGCAGAUGUACAAGCUAACAAACAAUCUCCCAAGGAGCAGGAAGGAAAAAGACAGAUCUGUUACUAUUGUACAAAGGACCAUGACUUAGACGAUAGGAAGGAGUUUGCUAAACUUGAUGGUAAUAUCAGAUACACUUUUGCCAGGGAACGAAAGUUGUGUACAGGAUGUCUAAAGCUGGGUCAUAAAAAGAUGUAUUGUAGAAGAAAGAAAAUAGGUAAAGUAUGUCACAGAUACCAUCCCACAGCUCUCCACAAUAAUGACAUGAUAAACUGUGAGAGCUGAGAGGUGCCAGAACAAAUAACCCAGCCCAAAGGUGAUAAAACUCCCACAGCUCUAGUGACAAAGAAGGUUAAAAUGACUGAGUCAGAAAUACAUGACAUGCACAGCAUAAUGGUCCCUGUGUGGCACCAUUAUGUCAGUAAUGAAGAACGUAAAAUCUUAGUGCAUGCCUUGUUAGACGAGCAGUCAAAUUCAUUAAGGAAGGCACCUUAAAUGAGUUGGGUGUUAAAGGCACAACAGUCACUUGAUGCAAGGCCCAGACCUUACAACAAACUUGUUGGAGUGUUAUGUAGGUUUAGGUAGGAGUAUAUUGCACUUGUAUGUAAUAUAGAAACAAUGUACCAUCAAGUGAAGGUAAACACAGAACAUAGAGACAUGUUAAGAUUCCUGUGGUGGAAAAAUGGUAAUUUUAAGGAUGAAAUAUUUGAAUAUAGAAUGACCUCACUUGUUGGGUGCUACCUUAUCCCCAAGUGUAGCAAACUUUGCACUACAGAAAGAAAUUGAAAAUUAUAAAAUUAUUUAAGAUAAAUGUACCCAAUGUCAGUCAUAUGGGAGGUGUUUGGGAGAGGCAGAUAUGCACAGUGAGAAAUGUGUUCACUGUGUUACUUGACCAGCAUGAUGCACAGUUAGAUUACCAAGAUUUGAGAACCUUCUUAGUGGAAGCUGAGAACAUAGUUAAUGGUUGCCCUAUAACUGUGGAUCAUUUAAAUUCCCCAGACAAUCCUACACCAUUAACACCAAAUAACUUGCUAACCAUGAAGACAAAAGUAGUACUGCCUUCCCCAAGCACAUUUGUUAAGGAGGAUUUAUAUUAUACAAGAAGGUGGCACAGAGCACAAUACCUGGCCAAUCAAUUCUGGUCCAGGUGGAAAAGAGAUUAUGUGCAAUCCCUACAACUUUGAAAUAAAUGGACAACACCAAGAAGCCUCAGUGUAGAUUAUAUAGUUAUUAUAAAGGACCAGAAUGUAGCAAAAAACCAGUGGGAACUAGGCAAAAUAACAGAAACUCAUGUUGAUGUUGAUGGGCUUGUGAGAAAGGUUAAGGUUCUAGUGUCAGACUGCAAUAAUGACAACCAGGGGAAACAUACAAAGGCCAACAGAGAACCAUCAUAGAGAGGCCAGUACAUAGUCUGAUAGUGUUGCUAGAGAGUAGCAUGUAAUGUAGACUGGAGCAUCUCUGCCAAGGAGCCAUUGCAACAAAACCUAUUGUGCGCCAAUACUAAUUCUAAGUCAAAUGUUAUUGUUAAAUCUGAGGUAAAUUGUGACACAAUUUAGGGGAGCCAUGUUACUGUACGUAAGAGUUUACUUAUGUUAUAGUAUGGUUAGUCCUCUGUCAUCAUAAGAAGUGUUUAAUAUUUUUCUAUGUGCUUUAUGUGCAUGAAAACACAUGUAGCAUACUUAAGUAUCAGUAUUUAAUGACACAAAGGUUCACCUCAAUGCGAUUUUAUUUGGGUGUUUGCCUAUCCUAUAGACUCAGGGCAUAACGAGUCUUCACUCAUGAGAGAGAGGGCGCGAGAUUCGGACAUGCACAAGGAGACGAUAAAGUAAACAUUGUAUUCUUUGUAGUACGUAUUAACCUAACGUCAUAGUGCCAAACUGAUUGUGUAGUUUAUAACUAGUAUAACAUACUGAAAGUGUUUGUACAAGUGAACAAUGUUACUUAUAAGAACUAACAUAAAGAAACUUUGUCCAAACAGAUUUUACGGUCAAGCCUACUGAAAUAAAUUGUCAGAGGAAA